UGAGUCAUAUACAUUCUUUUUGCUAUAUCUUGCUUGGUGUUAUCUUCUAGGUCAAUAAAUGCUUUCAUGUAGGAUUUUCAUUUGUAUAGGAUUUCUUUGUGGCUUGGCUUUGGCUUGCUUACUUAUUUUAGCAUGUUCUCUGUGGAUUUGUAUGACUUAUGGUAGCUGUGGUAACGCAUUGACCACACACAACCUUGACUUUAUUGCAGUGGUGCUAGCUUUGUCGUUGCUUUGAUUGGCUGCUGGGAAUUAGCUUACUGGGCUAAAUCGCUGCAUUGUGGUCGUCACGAUAUCCAGAUGGAUCAGCUUGAUGCAUGAAUAUGAGGCUAAAAAGUUUAGGAUGGAUGAGCUGCUGUUAAGGGGCGUUAAUAAACUACUCCCAGCAGUGAUUGUAAAGAUCAAGAACAGAGAUUAGCUUAAUAUAUGUUGCAACAAGGGGGAAGCUAGCUGCUGGAAUCAUAGCCUAGUCCUCAGGAUGUUUAUAUAUUGCUCCCAGCAGUGGUACUCAAGAUUCAGCGUGACAUAUGUUCAGCAAGGAAGAAGUUAGCUGCUGGAAUUAUGGCCUAAUUUCCAGGCAGAAGGUUCAGACCUUACCA